rnacentral:rRNA from 1 species
GGCCUUUCGGGGGGGCCUACACAUGCAGUCGAACGAUGAACCACUUCGGUGGGGAUUAGUGGCGAACGGGUGAGUAACACGUGGGCAAUCUGCCCUGCACUCUGGGACAAGCCCUGGAAACGGGGUCUAAUACCGGAUACUGAUCCUCGCAGGCAUCUGCGAGGUUCGAAAGCUCCGGCGGUGCAGGAUGAGCCCGCGGCCUAUCAGCUAGUUGGUGAGGUAACGGCUCACCAAGGCGACGACGGGUAGCCGGCCUGAGAGGGCGACCGGCCACACUGGGACUGAGACACGGCCCAGACUCCUACGGGAGGCAGCAGUGGGGAAUAUUGCACAAUGGGCGAAAGCCUGAUGCAGCGACGCCGCGUGAGGGAUGACGGCCUUCGGGUUGUAAACCUCUUUCAGCAGGGAAGAAGCGAAAGUGACGGUACCUGCAGAAGAAGCGCCGGCUAACUACGUGCCAGCAGCCGCGGUAAUACGUAGGGCGCAAGCGUUGUCCGGAAUUAUUGGGCGUAAAGAGCUCGUAGGCGGCUUGUCACGUCGGUUGUGAAAGCCCGGGGCUUAACCCCGGGUCUGCAGUCGAUACGGGCAGGCUAGAGUUCGGUAGGGGAGAUCGGAAUUCCUGGUGUAGCGGUGAAAUGCGCAGAUAUCAGGAGGAACACCGGUGGCGAAGGCGGAUCUCUGGGCCGAUACUGACGCUGAGGAGCGAAAGCGUGCGGAGCGAACAGGAUUAGAUACCCUGGUAGUCCACGCCGUAAACGGUGGGCACUAGG